rnacentral:misc_RNA from 1 species
AGAAGGUCGAGUUCCUUUUGUAACGUCUCCAUUGUUUGGAGCUUCUGUCGUAACUCCGCAACGUCAACCUCAAGUUUGAAACAUCUUGACUGCUCAGCUGCAAGUUGUGAGCGUACAGAUUGCAGCUCCUUGUAUAGCUCAGUGUUACGGUUCUCAGCAUCAGCUAGCUCUUGUUUUAGUUGUAAAGAGUGUAUCUUCUCCUUGUUGAGAGAUGAUUCCAGUUCUUCCCUCUCUGCCUUCAAUGUCGAUACGAGUUCUUUCG